ensembl:lncRNA
UGUAACUGUCAUGGUCCGGGCUGGAGCCUUGUUUGUUUCCCUGUUUUUCCCUUACCCGGUUUCCAGUCCACUGCUCUGGCUUCCUGCUGUUCACUCCCGGCUCACUUCCUGCUAUGACCAGCCCAGCCUCGUCUUCCCUGUGGCACUCCUGCUCUGCACUCAGCACUCACGUGUUCCACGUGGUGCAUUGGUUGUGCACUCGACUCGAAUCCUGACCCCAACUACACAUUAUCACAUUCCUUUCACACUCCAGCUCCCUUCAAUAGAUCCUGUUUACCUUCAGUCCUUGUGUGUUUUCUGUAUUUGGGUCCCCUGAUCUCUGUGUUCAUCAUAACAGAACAAUCUGGCCAACAUGGACCCAGCAGACCCAGCCCUGUCCCAUCAGGGCACCCACCUGGAUCAGCAUGAAUUAAAGCUCUGUGAACUCACUGAGAGCCACCAGGCCAUGCUGGACCAGCUCGGGCUCCUCACCCAGCAACUUAACAGCAUCCUGCCCUAACCGGUCCAGUCUGCCUCCUUUCCCUGUCCACCAUGGAGCGAAGCCCACGUCCCAGAUCCCGACCCCUAUGCAGGUGACCUAGGGAUAUGUAGAUCCUUAAUCCUUCAAUGUUCCCUCAUGUUUGUUCAGCAUCCUUACACCUAUGGCAAUGAUGAAGCCAGGGCAGCCUAUAUCAUGGGGCUUCUUAUGGGAGAUGCCCUAACCUGGGCCACCUGGGAUAUGCUGCCACCUCUGUGGUCCGCUCUCUUUUCCUUCACCACAGAACUUAGUAAGGUUUUCAACAACCUCAUCCAAGAGAAGGAGGCCGCCAAGCGCCUGCUUUCCCUGUGCCAGGGGCCUUGCAGUGUGGUCGAGUAUUCUGUGAAGAUCUGUGUCUUGACUGCCUAGUCUGGGUGGAAUGAGGAGGCGCUCCAGGGAGUUUUCCUGAAUGGACUCAGUGAGCAGGUGAAGGAUGAGCUUGUCAUGAAAGAUGAGUCAGAUUUCUAUUGAUUCUAUUGAAGAUUUCAGAUUUCUAUUGCCAUCCGGUUGGGUAACCACAUGCAGGAGUGGCACAGAGAGAGAGAGCCAGCCAGUCUCAAGCCGCUUCUCUUCCUCUCCAUUUGCCCACCAAUCCAGCCUCUGAGUCUCAGCCCAGUCAUUGAGUCCCUUCCAGUUCCCCCUCGUCUGCAGAAGAACCCAUGCAAGUAGGCUGGGCCUGGCUAACCCCGGCUGAGCAUGACUGCUGGUUCCAGGUUGGUGAAUGCAUCUACUGUGGCCCAUCAGGCCACUUCAUUGCCACCUGUCCUCUUAGUCCAAAGGGGGGGGAGGGGGGGCUUUCCAGUAGAAAGGGAGUUACUGGUGAGUCGAACAUCUUCCUGUCCUAUCUCCAAAUUCCAGCCACCCUGCGCCACAAACAAAUCUCCAUCCCCCUACUUGCACUGGGUGACUCAGGUGCUGAGGACAAUGUUCUGGAUCUGGAUUUAGAUUCCCAAUCUGGCCUCCCUCUGGAACCUCUGGACCACUCAAACACCCCCCCCACCCCAGGUUCUCUCGGGUAACCACCACGAGCAGGUAUUCCCUUGGUUUUGAUACACUCCUGGUUAACCAAACACAACCCCCAGAUAGACUGGUAAGCCAGAAGGGUUAGCUCUGGAGGGUUAACUGGAGCCCCUUCUGCCACUUCUCGUGUCUGAAAUCUGCCGUUCCAACCAUUACGUCCACUAAAGUACCUCCGACCCUACACCUUCCAGACCACUCAUCUGUGCCCUCCUGUGUAUCUUAACCUGAGAGAGGUCUUCCUCAAGGACCGGACCCUCUCACUAUCACCUCACCGCCCAUACGACUGCACCAUCGACCUUCUUCCUGGGGCCUCUCUGCCAUCCGGUCAACUGUACAAUCUGUCCCAUCCUGAGAGAGAGGCCAUGGAGAGAUACAUUCAUGAGGCACAAAACCCUCCAUCUUUGUACCGAUUACCAGGCCUUAACAACAUCACCAUUAAAAAUAAGUACCCGCUGCCACUCCUCAGCUCAACCACUGAGCCUCUGCAUGGAGCCACAGUGUACACCAAAUCGGACCUGUUUAAUGCAUACCGUCUGGUCAGGCUCAGAGAAUGGUACAAAUGGAAGACAUUUCUACCAUUGGGCCACUUUGAAUACUUGGUAAUGCCAUGUGACCUUAACAAUGCCCCAGCGGUCUUCUAAGCCUUAGUUAAUGACAUCCUCUGAGAUUUUACUGAACUGUUUUGUCUUCGUUUACCUGGCCGACAUGUGUUAAGCACAUCCUUCACGUCUGUCAGGUCCUUCAGAGACUGCUUGAGAACCACCUAUUUGCCAAAGCGGAGAAGUGCGGGUUCCAUGUGAACUUGGUCAGGUUCCUGGGGAUUGUCAUUAAGAAUGGCCAGGUGAGGACCGGUACAAAGAAGAUCCAGGCUGUCAUCGAGUAGCCAAGGCCUACCACCUAGAAGCAGCUUCAAUUAUUCCUGGGGUUUGCUAACUUUUAACGCUGAUUAAUUCAAGACUACAGCUGAGUCGCAGCGCCCCUCACUAGGCUCACCUCUACUUCUACUCCCUUUGUGUGGACCCCUGAGGCCGAGUAUACCGUCACCAAAAUUAUGGAACUGUUCACCUCAGCCCCCAUGUUGAUCCAGCCUAAUCAGUACCAACAAUUCAUUGUAGAGGUGGACACCUCUGACUCAGGUGUGGGUGCAGUGCCCUCCCAAUGAUCUGCCCCUGACCAGAAACUUCACCCCUGUGCCUUAUUCUCUCAUUAUCUCUCCACAGCAGAAUGCAACUAUGAUGUGAGGAAUCGUGAGUUGCUAACCAUGAAGUUAGCCUUGGGGGAGUGGAGGCACUGGCUUGAGGGGGCUGAGCAGCAUUUAUUGUAUGGACCAACCAUAAGAACUUGGCUUACAUCCAAACUGCCAAGCACCUCAACUCCCGUCAGGCAUGCUGGGACCUGCUCUUCGGGCAGUUCAACUUCAUGAUCACCUACUGUCCUGGUUCCAAGAAUGCUAAGCCCGAUGACCUCUCUCACCAGUUCACUUCAGAAGAAGAGGACACCUCUGACCCUGACACCAUCCUCUCUUUGGCCUGCAUAGUGAGGGCAGUCACAAAUGGAGAUUGAGUCCAUGGUCCGGAAAGCACAACUCACCCAACCCGACCCAGGUAAUGGGCCCCCUGGUUGCUUGUUCAUCCCCGGCAUGUUCCCAGGUCCUCCAGUGGGUUCCCUGUUCCUGGUUCACCUGCCACCCUGUUGAAAUAGAACUUCUGUUGGCAUACAAUGGACACUGACACCCGAGCCUUUGUCGCUGCCUGCACCAUACACUCCAGCUUCCUUCAAUAAAUCCUGUUUACCUUCAGUCCUCUUGUGUGUUCUGCAUUUGGGUUCCCUCGUCUCUGUGUUCAUCAUAACCAUAACCCCAACUAAGUCCAUUUUCCAAUUUCAGUUUGAGGUUGUAAUACUGUAACAUGUAGAAAAGUUCAAAAGAGGUAGAUAGUUAUGCAAGGAACUGUAUGGUAAAACAAUGAUUUGGAAAAAAUAAUUCUUGGUAAUGAACUGCAAAUCAUUGUUUUUAAGUGAUGUACACCAAUCAGCCAUAACAUUAAAACUACUGAGAGGUGAAGUGAAUAACACUGAUAAUCUCAUUACAGUGGCACAUGUCAGGGGGUGGGAGAUAUUAGGCAGCAAGUGAACAGUCACUUCUUGAAGCUGAUGUGUUGGAAGCAGAAAAAUGGGCAAACAUAAGUAUCUGAGACACUGAGACAAAGGGGCCAAAUUGUGAUGGCUAGACCACUGGGUCAGAGCAUCUCCAAAAUGGCAGGUUUUGUGGGGCGUUCCCGGCAUGCAGUGGUUAGUACCUACCAAAAACGCCCAAGGAUCAUUGAUGGAUCAUUGCCCGUCUGGUCCGAUCCUACAGAAAAGCUACUAUAGCACAAAUUGCUGAAAAACUCACUGCUGGCUAUGAUAGAAAGAUGUCAGAAAACACAGUGCAUCAGAGCUUGCAGUGCGUAGCAGCAGACUGGUCAGAGUACCCAUGUUGACCCCUGUCCACUGCCGAAAACACCUACAGUGGGCAUGUGAGCAUCAGAACUGGAUCAUGGUGCAAUGAAAGAAGGUGGCCUGGUGAAUCACGUUUUCUUUUACAUCAUGUGGACAGAAAAGUGCAUGUGAAUUGUCUACGUAGGGAAGAGAUGGCACCAGAAUGCACUAUGAGAAGGGGAACUUGAAUGAUCAGAAUGCACCAUUCAGAUCAAAACCAAUAAAUGAACAAAUAUAAGAGGACAUGUUGAUGUGUUUAUUGGUCUACUAAACUUAUUUUGUUGUAACAUGUAAUGUGGUAUGUUACCUAAAAGGUGUUUCAUACCCCUGCUCAGGUUGUCCCUUCUCUCUGAC